rnacentral:misc_RNA from 1 species
CGUGCCCUAGAGAACAGGAACGCCUUGGUGUUGCAUGUGCGAGUUUGGCUUCGGUACCAAUAUACGGCAUCUCUCACACCUGAUCAGCACACAUCACACGCAAGCACACACACACGCCUGCGCGUCAAGACAAGAAGGGCCGUGGCUUAUAGAUUGACGGAAACUCCACACACACACGCACACACACACACCUGCAAAACGUUCACGUCUGUGUGUGUGUGUGUGUGUGCGUAGAAGCACUCAUGGAAGCUGAGCCCCUCAGAAUGGUGCCGAACGCCCGAAGCGCGUCCCUGUUGCACUGGGGAAUGGCAGCGGCGGCCACCUCCUCUUCCACCAGUCUUGCAUCGCUGCCUAGUAAAAGUGACGGCGUAUGUGGCGGGGGCGGAGGCAAGAACGACGACACGGGCACUGUGCUACCGCUAAACCGCGCCACGAUGGCCGAUGCUGAAGCGUCGGUCAACCGCGCCUACCUCUCCCGCACCUCACUGGAGUACAUUCUCUGCGUCGCCUUUGUCGUCGUUGGCAUCUUCUACUCUUGCGUCUACAGGAUCGCCUGCAUUGGCCGUGAGCAUCACGAAGAGCUGAAGGAGAAUCUUAAGCCACCAUGGGCACUAUACCGCUGGCUCGGCAGCAAAGGUGUGGACGUAACGGAUCUGCAGUGCUACUACUUUGUGGUGGCGAUGCCCCCAUCCAUACCGUACAUGAUCGGCUUCCUGCUCUUGUCACGACGACUGCGACGCCAUGCCGCAUCGAAGACGGCGACAGCUGUAAAAGAAUCUACCAUCGCUGCGGCUGGCGACGGCAAGGAGCGCAGCGGCUCGAUGGCAAGCAUUCACCACCCAGAGCACGUCAUCGGCGACAGCAGUGUUGGUAGAGGCAGCGUCAGCCCUACGCUCCUGAUUCGCAAAGACGUGUCGACCCUCCAAUUCCUUCACAUUAUCGCUGGCAUGUUCAUUGCUCUGUGCCUCUGCGGGCCGGGGUUUCUCUUCGGAGUGGUAAUGAUGUUGCUCAAUUUCUAUCUGAUCGCGCCUCUUUACAAGAGAGCGUCCUUUCGGGUAUCCAUGACGGUGAUGUGGGUGAUGCACGUGUUGGUCCUCUUCUUGAACUACCACGCUGGCGGGUACCAGUUUGCCUGGUUUGGGCUCAGCUUCCUCGAUAACCUGUGGUCGCCAUUGAUCCAGUGGACCACCCAGUAUAACAUGUCGGUGCUGCGCAUGAUCUCCUUUAACAGUGAUCUCUGGGAGUCAGUAAGCUGUGGCGAGGAGCGGCGGCAGAAGUCGCUGGCGAAGCACGCACGCACAUGCAUUGCCUGUGCUCAGAUACGCGACCAGCACCGUCACGCCGUCACCUCUCUCCCGCCGGAGGCACUCUCGUGUUACAAGUGCCGCACAGAAUGCUCACGGCACGUGGAAGAGUUCACUCUCAGCGCUUACCUCGGCUACAUAUUCUACCUGCCUCUUUUCAUGGCGGGGCCGGUGUCGUCCUUCAACGCGUACGUGUCCUACCAGCAUUACUCGGCACGGAGCAUUGAGGGCAAGGCUAUCUGGCGGUACGGAUUUCGCUUAUUGUGCCACGCUAUCUUGCUAGCAACGUUGAUGCACUACGUGCCUAUCAUGGCCAUUCUGCUGACACCCGCUCCGUCAGCCAGUGGAGCGGCUGAAGCAGUGCCUGCCGCUGGGGCGAUCGCAGCGGAAGGGGCUGCGCUGGCGCGCAGUAGCGGUGCUAUGGCGGUCACCACGAGUAGCUCGCCAGCGGGCAACGCACUGCAGAAUAUGGUUAGCACAACCACUGCAACCACAACACCCACAGCAGCCGUUGUCACCCUCUCGGUGCUGGACCAGAUGGGGGUUACGGAAAAGGCGUCCCUGUUUGUACUGGCACUGGCCUUCCUGUGGGCUAAGUUCGACGUUGUGUGGCGCUUCUUCCGCUUCUUCGCGCUGCUAGACGGCUUCGACCCGCCGGAGGACAUGCCGCGCUGCUUCGCCAACACUGUGAAUAUCCAAAGCUUCUGGCGCGACUGGCACGCCUCCUUCAACCUGUGGAUCGUGCGGUACAUGUACAUCCCGAUGGGCGGCAGUCGCACCAAGUCUCUCUCCAUAUUUCCCAUCUUCUUCUUCAUUGCCAUCUGGCAUGACAUCGAGCUGCGUCUGAUCUUCUGGGCCACAAUCAUGUGCACCGCAUUAAUCCCUGAGAUCGCGGUCACUCUCUUCUUCUCCUCCGAGAACCCGCUGGUGAUGCGAAUCAAGCGCUCGCCGCUCAUGUGGAGGUACCUACGCGUACUCGGGACGCAACUGGCGCUGAUGGAGUUGACUGUAGCAAACCUUGUCGGCUUCUCCGUUGGUACAACCGGCGCGGCGUGGGCCGCUCAGCACAUGUUUCGCGAGAUGUCCUUCACGUUCAAGAUCCUCGCGCCGUGCUUUUACCUCUGCGCGGCGAUCAUCUCCAUUCAAGACAGCGACCAGAAAGCGUAUGAGCAGCAGCAACUCAAACUAAAGUACGAUCUCCAGUAACAGGAAGUCGUGAGGCGCGUACAUGAUACGACUCGCCUGGACGCCCUUCUCCCCCUCCCCCCUCUCGUCCUCUCUUCAGCUUCAGCCUCCGCCUCCGCGGCAAGGGCAACAUCGCUUCCUAAUCCAUAUUUCCCUUCGUCCCCCCCCGUUGCUUGCUUUACGUGUGUGUGCUUCCUUCGCAUCUCCCGCCAUCUCCCUCCUUAUGGCGUCGGCUUUAGCACUUUUCCGUGUUCUUCCUCUUUGUGUGUCCAUCGUAUUAUUUCCAUUUAUAUCGUUUUCGUGAUCCCUGGUGACGGAGUGAGGGUGGGGGAGGGGGAGGGACAUCUUGCCUUCAUAUAUCAAGGCUCAGUACCCUCCCUCCGCGGGAAAGCGAAGCAGCACCCUUCCUACUCCCCCUCUCUCUCCUAUCCCUGCCAGCUGCAGAGCCGCUACUGCUAUGUCGGCGCUUAGGCCGUGGGUGGGAGCUGCAUUGGAGCCGCCGGCGCCUGUGAACACAUUUGUGCCAUCCAUGUGAUGGGCGAAGUGUCCGCGUGACUCCAACCCAUCUCACCCGGACCCUCACACUGCCCACUGGUGUGGGGGAGCUUGAGCCCCUCUGAGGGGGCCGCACCGCGUGGCGACCACCACAAUGGAAGCGGCUGUGAGGCGAUCUGCGGAGCAGAGUGUGGGUAGAGUGUGAGGCAGGCGCUGUGCUCUGAUAACUGGGUCGGCAUAUUGCUCUGACGUGUGUCUCCUGCUGCCUCGUACCACGCGGAAGGGGCCUGUGACAGGGGCCGGGUGGUGCGGAGUGGGGUUCACCUCAUGCUUAAUGGCGCAGAGGAGACGUUUAUUGCGUUUUUCUCAUACCUUGUUCCCUUUGUCAGCGUGUCCAUUCUACCAGAAGCAAGCCAACAAACGCAUACGCACACAACAACACCACUUGACCCGCCUCUGCUGCACCACGGCGAGGCUCCUGUCCGCGAGGACGAGCCGCUCUGCCGUCGAGUCGGGGGCACGCGUCUGGCGGGCUCCCCUCGUCCUUCCUCGUCUCUUCUACGCAUGCGCGCUGCGCGAUCGGCGCGGACGCGCUUGGCUGGACGGCGUCCAUCGAUCCGAAGCGGCCCGCGUCCACGGCCCUGCUCGAGGGCGGAGGCGGCGGCGUCUGUGGUGCGGGUGGUAGGGGGAGGGGCACUGCAGGUGCAUGCCGGAUGAGCUCCAGCCGCAAGUUGGCCAGAGUCAGGCCAGGGCCCCCUGAGGCCCUGCACCCGGCCUGUGUGCCGUGCAUCGCCCUGACUCGCC